rnacentral:lncRNA from 1 species
CCCAGAGAAUGAAGCUUUUCAGGGAGUUGCCUGACAGGUCAUAAAGGAAGAGGGCAACGUUAUCAUCUGACUGCUUGUAGCUGUGGAAGGGCGGCGUAGAAGAGGAAAGGCUGGGGGUUUCGGAUGGUUGUUUUUGAAGCCAUCAGUAUUCUUGAAGAAGCAGCAUAUCUUGAACUGUCCUAUGGGUGAAGGCUUUGAUGUGGUCCUGUAAAAACUGGGAAGAUUUGGAGGAUCAUCUGAAUACCCAUCCAACAGAGAUCCAUGAUUCAUGUAUUUCUCAAGACAGCCAUACACUAAAAUUAUAAGAUCAUAAGAAUAUUAAUUAUAUUCUACCAAUGCAAUACAAGCAUUGAAAUGGAUGGCAUCUGAUCCUGCUUCAUGUGAUUCUUCAUUUAGCUCUGGACUCUUUACAUCAUUAAGGUACCCUGAAUAUAUUCAGUAUGACGGAGUCUCGCUCUGUCACCCAAGCUGGAGUGCAGUGGCACGAUCUCGGCUCACUGCAACCUCCGCAUCCCGGGUUCACACCAUUCUCCUGCCUCAUCCUUCUGAGUAGCUGGGACUACAGGCGCCCGCCACCACGACCGGCUAAUUUUUUGUAUUUUUAGUAGAAACGGAGUUUCACCGUGUUAGCCAGGAUGGUCUCGAUCGCCUGACCUCGUGAUCCACCCGUCUCGGCCUCCCAAAGUGGUGGGAUUACAAGCGUGAGCCACUUCGCCCGGCCAUAGUGUG